AUUGAACGCUGGCGGCAGGCCUAACACAUGCAAGUCGAACGAGUGGCGGACGGGUGAGUAAUGCCUGGGAAACUGCCUGAUGGAGGGGGAUAACUACUGGAAACUGUAGCUAAUACCGCAUACCAUCGGAUGUGCCCAGAUGGGAUUAGCUAGUUGGUGGGGUAAAGGCUCACCUAGGCGACGAUCCCUAGCUGGUCUGAGAGGAUGACCAGCCACACUGGGACUGAGACACGGCCCAGACUCCUACGGGAGGCAGCAGUGGGGAAGAGUGCACAAGGGGAGCAAGCCUGAUGCAGCCAUGCCGCGUGGAUGAAGAAGGCCUUCGGGUUGUAAAGUACUUUCAGUGGGGAGGCGUUACCCGCAGAAGAAGCACCGGCUAACUCCGUGCCAGCAGCCGCGGUAAUUC
rnacentral:rRNA from 1 species